UUUGUGCACUUGUGUGCAGGUUGCUUGCAUUGCAUCUGGUGGAGAGGGCCAAGGAGAUCACCUUGACGGAGCCACCAUGAAUGAUUCCCCACACAAGGUCUCGCUCUGUUUAUUUUUGACAAGUCAAAGUCAUUGCUAGAUCGUGCAAGGAGAAGAGGGAGAAGAACGAGUCCGUCUCCCGCCCCCCACCACUGCCACAAGGUGCUCGACUGAUCUCGAGCAUCAGGAGGCUGGCGGCGCUGGACGGGAGGACGGUGAGGUACAGGAGCUGGGCGACAUCAUGCACCAGCUCGAGGUUCCUCACCCGAUGCUCCAUUGGCGGUACAGGACGAGCGCGACAGCAUUGCCCCGCUCGAGGACGGCGGCGGCGGCGGCCACGGCGACGGCCUUGUACCCUACCCUCCAACUCCAACGCAGGCAGGGCCAGGACGGCAAGUUGCACGGUGGUAUGCUCCGACUGGGCUUCUGCUGUUGGACGGACCCGUUGUCGGAGAUGCGCUGCUGCUGCCCACUACUUUGGCCAACAAGAGCACCUCUGCCUGCUCCCCUGGGGCACGAAACAUUCGCCGUUUCACCCAGCGGUAGCCUCUUCAAGUUGCUUGCAUUACAUCUGAUGGAGAGGGCCAAGGAGAUCACCUUGACGGAGACCACCAUGAAUGAUUCCCCACACAAGGUCUCGCUCUGUUUAUUUUUGACAAGUCAAAGUCAUUGCUAGAUCGUGCAAGGAGAAGAGGGAGAAGAACGAGUCCGUCUCCCGCCCCCCACCACUGCCGCAAGGUGCUUGACUGAUCUCGAGCAUCAGGAGGCUGGCGGCGCUGGACGAGAGGACGGUGAGGUGCAGGAGCUGGGCGACAUCAUGCACCAACUCGAGGUUCCUCACCCGAUCCAUGGGUGGUCCGGGACGAGCGCGACGGCGUUGCCCCGCUCGAGGACAGCGGCGACGGUGAUGACGUUGUACCCUACAACUCCAACGCAGGCGGGGCCAGGGGCCUUCAAGUUAACCCUGGGCCAUGGAGAAGCUGUUGCCGCCAAGGGCCCCUUCAACGAAGUUGUUCAACAUCAAGUCAAAUCCCCCUCUACUGUUCACGACAUGCCACCUUGGUUUUCCACUUCGACGCCCCAUGCCAUGCCCCUCCCCUCGGGUGCAUCCAAUCUCCUUCCUUCCCGGCGGCAUAGACGGC